AUAAAUAACAUUUUAUAUUACUUUAAUACCUAGGAGCAUUUUGGUAAUUUUUAAUUUCUACCAAUUAAACUAUUUUUUUUACAUCUAUCACAUCAAUCAAAUCCUACACUAAUUCUCACAAACUUCACUUCCAAAUCCAUUCUCAAUUACCCACAAAUCCACUCAAAAAAACAACAAAAAAAUUACCCUCAAAUCCACUCAAAUCCAUUCAAAUCAUCCUCCCAAAUCAUCUCCUUCAAAAAUCCUAAACCUUAAACCCUAAACAAAGUCGUAAUGACUGUUUGCGGUUAAAUAAACUUUCGUUGAAAUUAUUGGUGUAAAAAAUCGAAGUGUAAAUACAUUUACGCUAAACAAAGUAUACAUCACAUGUAUUUAC
rnacentral:lncRNA from 1 species